CAGGUCGAACGCGUUGAGCCCAAUUGAUUGAUGGUGCUUGCACCUGAUUGAUUUUGGUCGCCAACGAGUGGCGGACGGGUGAGUAACACGUAGGUAACCUGCCCAGAAGCGGGGGACAACAUUUGGAAACAGAUGCUAAUACCGCAUAACAGCGUUGUUCGCAUGAACAACGCUUAAAAGAUGGCUUCUCGCUAUCACUUCUGGAUGGACCUGCGGUGCAUUAGCUUGUUGGUGGGGUAAUGGCCUACCAAGGCGAUGAUGCAUAGCCGAGUUGAGAGACUGAUCGGCCACAAUGGGACUGAGACACGGCCCAUACUCCUACGGGAGGCAGCAGUAGGGAAUCUUCCACAAUGGGCGCAAGCCUGAUGGAGCAACACCGCGUGAGUGAAGAAGGGUUUCGGCUCGUAAAGCUCUGUUGUUAAAGAAGAACACGUAUGAGAGUAACUGUUCAUACGUUGACGGUAUUUAACCAGAAAGUCACGGCUAACUACGUGCCAGCAGCCGCGGUAAUACGUAGGUGGCAAGCGUUAUCCGGAUUUAUUGGGCGUAAAGAGAGUGCAGGCGGUUUUCUAAGUCUGAUGUGAAAGCCUUCGGCUUAACCGGAGAAGUGCAUCGGAAACUGGAUAACUUGAGUGCAGAAGAGGGUAGUGGAACUCCAUGUGUAGCGGUGGAAUGCGUAGAUAUAUGGAAGAACACCAGUGGCGAAGGCGGCUACCUGGUCUGCAACUGACGCUGAGACUCGAAAGCAUGGGUAGCGAACAGGAUUAGAUACCCUGGUAGUCCAUGCCGUAAACGAUGAGUGCUAGGUGUUGGAGGGUUUCCGCCCUUCAGUGCCGGAGCUAACGCAUUAAGCACUCCGCCUGGGGAGUACGACCGCAAGGUUGAAACUCAAAGGAAUUGACGGGGGCCCGCACAAGCGGUGGAGCAUGUGGUUUAAUUCGAAGCUACGCGAAGAACCUUACCAGGUCUUGACAUCUUGCGCCAACCCUAGAGAUAGGGCGUUUCCUUCGGGAACGCAAUGACAGGUGGUGCAUGGUCGUCGUCAGCUCGUGUCGUGAGAUGUUGGGUUAAGUCCCGCAACGAGCGCAACCCUUGUUACUAGUUGCCAGCAUUAAGUUGGGCACUCUAGUGAGACUGCCGGUGACAAACCGGAGGAAGGUGGGGACGACGUCAGAUCAUCAUGCCCCUUAUGACCUGGGCUACACACGUGCUACAAUGGACGGUACAACGAGUCGCGAACUCGCGAGGGCAAGCAAAUCUCUUAAAACCGUUCUCAGUUCGGACUGCAGGCUGCAACUCGCCUGCACGAAGUCGGAAUCGCUAGUAAUCGCGGAUCAGCAUGCCGCGGUGAAUACGUUCCCGGGCCUUGUACACACCGCCCGUCACACCAUGAGAGUUUGUAACACCCAAAGUGCGGUGGGGUAGACUCUUUUAGGA
rnacentral:rRNA from 1 species